CGAGAUUUUUACGAAGAGUUCGAAGGUUUAUUUAAGCGAUAUGCAAAGGAAGAAAGUUCGUAAUACAUCUAUAUUUUUUUUAUAUAAAAAGAUGAAGAGGAAGACCGAGGAUUAACUACAUGGGACAGAUAAAGGAAACACUAGGCGUCAUGUUGUAUAGGGAGAUAAAGGAUAUGGCCUGGGAUAGAGCUGGCUGGAGGAAGAUGCAUGAAUUAGUUGCACCGACAAGAGGAAACUCUUAAAUGAAAAUGAAUGAUAGUUUAUAUUUUUACUUAUCCCAAUAAUGAAGUACCAUAUUCAUGAUUCACUGUUUAUCCCAAAGGUUGAUUGGUAGAGAAUGAUACUAGCAUUGAGUGGGCCUAUUGUACCAUAUUUUCUUUUGGUCAAUAAAGUUAUUUAAAAUUAAAA